CAGAAAUUACCGCCGGGUAAAUUUAAAGCAUUGGAUUCAUAUCGUAGGCCAUUGAAGAUAUGAAUGCCAAUGCUUUUUUAUGG
rnacentral:ncRNA from 1 species